rnacentral:lncRNA from 1 species
AUUUUACUUUUCGCUUUACAUACCAGUACAUUUUUAUUCGUACUGACGUCCCUUUGCCUGGGGACGCUGCUUUUUGUUUUGUGCGAGCAGGUACAGGCAGGGACUCUAAUCGACCCACCCGCUAGGAUUCAGGUUCAGCUGUGAGUUGGUAAGCUCCAUCUUAUCCUGGGGCUAUCAGAGGAUGUUUACUUUUGUUGUACAGUUUGGGUAUAGUCGGGGCCUUGUCCCGACAGUGCUUUUGUCACUCAUAGAGGCUAUUGUGGGCACAAUAUUCUAGGUUUUCUUUUUUGUAUGUUUCAACCUCCAGCCAAUAGUCUUGGCAUGCAUAUAUAGGUG